UAUGUGAUGAUAUACCGAAUCAAGCAUAGUUCACACUGAAUAACCAAGUGUUGACAACAAUUCAUCUAAAUGUCUUUCGCUCCUAUCUGA
rnacentral:snoRNA from 1 species